ensembl:ncRNA C13G3.10 ncRNA
AAUGCAUAUAGUGAUAAGCAAUGGGCGAGCACGCACACACACUCAUACAUCACAUUGCUCGUUCAUCUUGACCGUAGGGAGGGUGAGGAGUACAUAGGGCAUUGCGAUAGUGCUUGUCUUGCAAAUUAAAAUAU